rnacentral:rRNA from 1 species
GUAACUGAGCUAGCGGCGGACGGGUGAGUAAAGCUUAGGAAUCUGCCUAUUAGUGGGGGACAACAUUCCGAAAGGGAUGCUAAUACCGCAUACGUCCUACGGGAGAAAGCAGGGGAUCACUUGUGACCUUGCGCUAAUAUAUGACCCUAA